rnacentral:hammerhead_ribozyme from 1 species
AUCCAGGUGACGAGUCCCAAAUAGAACGAAAAGCUUGUCCUAGAU